GACGAACGCUGGCGGCGUGCCUAAUACAUGCAAGUAGAACGCUGAAGGAGGAGCUUGCUUCUCUGGAUGAGUUGCGAACGGGUGAGUAACGCGUAGGUAACCUGCCUGGUAGCGGGGGAUAACUAUUGGAAACGAUAGCUAAUACCGCAUAAUAGUAGAUGUUGCAUGACAUUUACUUAAAAGGUGCAAUUGCAUCACUACCAGAUGGACCUGCGUUGUAUUAGCUAGUUGGUGGGGUAACGGCUCACCAAGGCGACGAUACAUAGCCGACCUGAGAGGGUGAUCGGCCACACUGGGACUGAGACACGGCCCAGACUCCUACGGGAGGCAGCAGUAGGGAAUCUUCGGCAAUGGACGGAAGUCUGACCGAACAACGCCGCGUGAGUGAAGAAGGUCUUCGGAUCGUAAAGCUCUGUUGUAAGAGAAGAACGAGUGUGAGAGUGGAAAGUUCACACUGUGACGGUAUCUUACCAGAAAGGGACGGCUAACUACGUGCCAGCAGCCGCGGUAAUACGUAGGUCCCGAGCGUUGUCCGGAUUUAUUGGGCGUAAAGCGAGCGCAGGCGGUUAGAUAAGUCUGAAGUUAAAGGCUGUGGCUUAACCAUAGUACGCUUUGGAAACUGUUUAACUUGAGUGCAAGAGGGGAGAGUGGAAUUCCAUGUGUAGCGGUGAAAUGCGUAGAUAUAUGGAGGAACACCGGUGGCGAAAGCGGCUCUCUGGCUUGUAACUGACGCUGAGGCUCGAAAGCGUGGGGAGCAAACAGG
rnacentral:rRNA from 1 species